rnacentral:RNase_P_RNA from 3 species
CGUGCAAGUUGUCUUGUCGCCUUAGUGAUUUUCGAAUAACUGGGGAGGAAAGUCCGGGCAACAUAGAGCGCCAUACUUCCUAACGGGAAGGCUUUUUACUGGAGACGGUAAAAAGACAGCUAGUGCCACAGAAAACAAACCGUCCUGAUAGCUUUCUAUCGGGAUAAGGGUGAAAAGGUGGGGUAAGAGCCCACCGCUCCGACAGUGAUGAAGGAGGCAUGGCAAACCUUAUGGGUUGAAAGAUCAAAUAGGCCCCGGGCAAAGAGCUGCUCGUUCGAUUCUUACUUUUCGAAGUAGGAUUCCGGGGUGGGUAGAUCGAUAGAGUUCUGGUGUGAAUCAGAAUCAAGAUAAAUGACAAGAAUCCCGAUUUAUCGGGAUACAGAACCCGGCUUAUAGACUUGCACUUUUU